ACUCGUCUAAGCGAGUCUAAACAGAUCUUUAAGCUUAGAGCGUCUCUGGUCUUUAUGACCAGAGGGUAGAU
rnacentral:ribozyme from 1 species